rnacentral:rRNA from 1 species
UACAGAGGGUGCGAGCGUUGUCCGGAAUCACUGGGCGUAAAGGGCGCGUAGGCGGCUCAGUAAGGUUGCGGUGAAAGCCCGGGGCUCAACCCCGGGUCGGCCGUGGCAACUGCUGGGCUGGAGCACUGUAGAGGCAGGUGGAAUUCCGGGUGUAGCGGUGGAAUGCGUAGAGAUCCGGAAGAACACCGGUGGCGAAGGCGGCCUGCUGGGCAGUGGCUGACGCUGAGGCGCGACAGCGUGGGGAGCAAACAGG